GGGUAGUAGCUCAGGGGAUGAGAGCGUGUGUCUCCGAAGCGCAAGGUCGAGGGUUCAAAUCCCUCCUGUCCC
rnacentral:tRNA from 1 species